GUAACAUGACUCCUGCUGCCUUUGGGCUUCGAUUUUUGAAGCUUUAAACCGGAACGAAAAACUGAUUAUUUGUUGUCAAAGCCGCCGAAAACCAUUCAAAGGAGAUCAGCAGAGAGCACAGCUCCGUCAUAUCAUUCCAGCCAGAGAAGUCCAUGUGGAGUUCAACAGAGCAGGCACUCGUCAUCGGUGACUGAGGAGACCAGCCAAACGCUGCUGUCAAGUACUCACUGUUCACUCGUUCUUUCUCCUGCUCUUUCCUUUCUCCAUGUCCACUUUCUAUUGUUCACAUGCAAAAGACUUGUUUUCAAGCUAGACUGUUACACUGUUCUUGGUGCUAUUUUAAAUCAGUGUUACACUGUUCUUGAUGCUAUUUUAUUUCAGCAUCAGAGGUUAUGCUCAUGAGUUCAGUAAAGCUUGUAACUAAUUAUUUUAUUGGAGACUGUUUCUUCCAAAUGUGGUAAUGCCAUACCUUGUUAUGUUUGCAAUACAAAUGUUCUCAGUUUUACUAAUCUUACAAAGUUUGCUCUACAAAUGAGCACUU